CAGUCGAGCGGAACGAUCCUAGCUUGCUAGGAGGCGUCGAGCGGCGGACGGGUGAGUAAUGCAUAGGAAUCUACCCAGUCGUGGGGGAUAACCUGAGGAAACUCAGGCUAAUACCGCAUACGUCCUACGGGAGAAAGCGGGGGCUCUUCGGACCUCGUGCGAUUGGAUGAGCCUAUGUCGGAUUAGCUAGUUGGUAAGGUAACGGCUUACCAAGGCGACGAUCCGUAGCUGGUCUGAGAGGAUGAUCAGCCACACCGGGACUGAGACACGGCCCGGACUCCUACGGGAGGCAGCAGUGGGGAAUAUUGGACAAUGGGCGAAAGCCUGAUCCAGCCAUGCCGCGUGUGUGAAGAAGGCUUUCGGGUUGUAAAGCACUUUCAGCGAGGAAGAAAGCGUGCCGUUUAAUACACGGUACGGACGACAUCACUCGCAGAAGAAGCACCGGCUAACUCCGUGCCAGCAGCCGCGGUAAUACGGAGGGUGCAAGCGUUAAUCGGAAUUACUGGGCGUAAAGCGCGCGUAGGCGGCGUGUCACGCCGGGUGUGAAAGCCCCGGGCUCAACCUGGGAACGGCAUCCGGAACGGGCAGGCUAGAGUGCAGGAGAGGAAGGUAGAAUUCCCGGUGUAGCGGUGAAAUGCGUAGAGAUCGGGAGGAAUACCAGUGGCGAAGGCGGCCUUCUGGACUGACACUGACGCUGAGGUGCGAAAGCGUGGGUAGCAAACAGGAUUAGAUACCCUGGUAGUCCACGCCGUAAACGAUGUCGACUAGCCGUUGGGUCCCUUGAGGACUUAGUGGCGCAGUUAACGCGAUAAGUCGACCGCCUGGGGAGUACGGCCGCAAGGUUAAAACUCAAAUGAAUUGACGGGGGCCCGCACAAGCGGUGGAGCAUGUGGUUUAAUUCGAUGCAACGCGAAGAACCUUACCUACCCUUGACAUCCUGCGAACCCGGAAGAGAUUCCGGGGUG
rnacentral:rRNA from 1 species